CCCUUAGUUAUCCUAGGUCGCACGCGCCAUACAAUGUGGCGCACAACGAGUCUCCUUGGCCGACAGGAUGUCCCGCGAGCGAUCGGCGACGCAGCCAGCUCGGUCUUCGGGCAGACUCGGUGAGAGUGGCCCGUCCUCCUGAGAGGGCGAUCGUCGAUGCCUCGGGAUUCUGGGCAAUCUGGCAGAGCGCUACGUGACUGGGCUAGACUUUUGUAAUUUUUGGUCUUGAACGAGGAAUGCCUAGUAAUCGCAGGUCAGCAUCCUGCGAUGAUUCGGUCCCUGCCCUGUGUACACACCGCCCGUCGCUCCAUCCGUGGCAUGCGCCGGUGAAGAGGGGGAGGCAGCGUCGGCCGUGUAACAGCGGAUCGUACGUGGAACCCCUCUGAACCUUCGCACGUAGAGGAAGGAGAAGUCGUAACA
rnacentral:rRNA from 1 species